rnacentral:rRNA from 1 species
UACGAAGGGGGCUAGCGUUGCUCGGAAUCACUGGGCGUAAAGCGCACGUAGGCGGACUCUUAAGUCGGUGGUGAAAUCCUGGAGCUCAACUCCAGAACUGCCUUCGAUACUGAGAGUCUUGAGUCCGGGAGAGGUGAGUGGAACUGCGAGUGUAGAGGUGAAAUUCGUAGAUAUUCGCAAGACACCAGUGGCGAAGGCGGCUCACUGG